AGGCAGCAGUGGGGAAUAUUGCACAAUGGGGGAAACCCUAAUGCAGCCAUGCCGCGUGUGUGAAGAAGGCCUUCGGGUGUUAAAGCACUUUCAGUAGGGAGGAAGGUAGUGUAGUUAACACCUGCAUUAUUUGACGUUACCUACAGAAGAAGCACCGGCUAACUCCGUGCCAGCAGCCGCGGUAAUACGGAGGGUGCGAGCGUUAAUCGGAAUUACUGGGCGUAAAGCGCAUGCAGGCGGCCUGUUAAGUCAGAUGUGAAAGACCCGGGGCUUAACCUCGGAAUUGCAUUUGAAACUGGCAGGCUAGAGUCUUGUAGAGGGGGGUAGGAAUUUCAGGUGUAGCGGUGAAAUGCGUAGAGAUCUGAAGGAAUACCAGUGGCGAAGGCGGCCCCCUGGACAAAGACUGACGCUCAGAUGCGAAAGCGUGGGGAGCAAACAGGAUUAGAUACCCUGGUAG
rnacentral:rRNA from 1 species